CAAGGGGCGGGAAGAAAAGGUUAUGGAAGGAAAUGAUGAGAGCUGCAGAAUUAUUUAUUGUUGUUUCUUCAAUGAGAUCUGGGAGUCAUCUCCAUCUAUAAUGUCAUCCACAUAGGUGGAAUGGCGUCGAUAAGAAUUCAACUAAGGAAGGGAAGACUGCAAAGGUCAAGGAAAAUAUAUUCUAGAUCGAUUGCGUCGUACAACGAUGGUCGGCACUGCCGCUGUCGUCACCUCUUACCAUCGGUGGGUGGUGGGUGAUAACCCACGACACGCCAAACCUUCCAUUAGGCGUGGGCUCCAAACGCAAUCUACUGUAGUGGAACGAGGAAGCUGCUGGCUUGGGAGGUAUCCUCUCCCGUUACGCGAUCCAAGUCAACUGUUAGACCUCACGGCUUCCGAACGGAGAGGUUCUCGAUCAAGACCAAGCACGAAAAUUAAGGAAUCGAUUCGUCGACGGUCGGUUGAGAUGAUAUAAAGGGAUGGAAUCGACGGCUCGCGCGGAUUUUGAUGGGAUGCGGUCGAAAGAACAACGGCGAUAGGAACAUGGCGAUACGUUUCAUGCUAUAUCCAGAGAGUCUGCUGCAAUUACCUAAGAGCAAGUUUACGGAAGGAAAGGAAAGCUGUAGAGCUAAUGUUGUGAGAUAGAAGUGACUGUCUCAGGAAUACUUGUUUGGUUGAUCAUGAUGAAUAGUACUAAUUGGGGAUGAACUAAUAAUACACUUGUUUUUUACAUAAAUGUCCUUGUUUCAUAGGAGCUUACAUGGCUCCUAUAUAUCCAAUCUUCUUGACUUAUAAUGCAUGUCCAAUCCAACUCUCAAUGUUGAUGAUAUUUGCAUGAGUUUUGGCUUGGUUUUGUUUUGCUUUGGAGAAUUUUGAGCAGUUUUUUGGCUUUAAAUAAAUUCAUAUCCCUAACCUCUCUCCCAAUGCCAAGAAGCUGCAACAGUGAAGUAGUAUGGAGGAUAUUUGACCUUGCUAAUACAUAUUUAUGCUUGAUAAUAUACCUUCUAUCUAUUAGCCAGGAAUUACUAUACUAGCAAGUGCAGAUGUCCUCAGGUUCUUGAUGAAGACAAAAGAAGGC
rnacentral:lncRNA from 1 species